UACGUAGGGUGCGAGCGUUUGUCCGGAAUUAUUGGGCGUAAAGAGCUUGUAGGCGGUUUGUCGCGUCUGCUGUGAAAUUUCGGGGCUCAACCCCGAACUUGCAGUGGGUACGGGCAGGCUAGAGUGUGGUAGGGGAGACUGGAAUUCCUGGUGUAGCGGUGAAAUGCGCAGAUAUCAGGAGGAACACCGAUGGCGAAGGCAGGUCUCUGGGCCACUACUGACGCUGAGAAGCGAAAGCAUGGGGAGCGAACAGG
rnacentral:rRNA from 1 species